CGUACACUCCUACGGGAGGCAGCAGUGGGGAAUAUUGGACAAUGGGCGCAAGCCUGAUCCAGCCAUGCCGCGUGAGUGAUGAAGGCCCUAGGGUUGUAAAGCUCUUUCACCGGUGAAGAUAAUGACGGUAACCGGAGAAGAAGCCCCGGCUAACUUCGUGCCCGCAGCCGCGGUAAUACGAAGGGGGCUAGCGUUGUUCGGAUUUACUGGGCGUAAAGCGCACGUAGGCGGACUAUUAAGUCAGGGGUGAAAUCCCGGGGCUCAACCCCGGAACUGCCUUUGAUACUGGUAGUCUUGAGUUCGAGAGAGGUGAGUGGAAUUCCGAGUGUAGAGGUGAAAUUCGUAGAUAUUCGGAGGAACACCAGUGGCGAAGGCGGCUCACUGGCUCGAUACUGACGCUGAGGUGCGAAAGCGUGGGGAGCAAACAGGAUUAGAUACCCGAGUAGUCCCAUGA
rnacentral:rRNA from 1 species